GCAUGUUCACAUGAUUAAAGGUAUUCCGGUAGACGAUGGGGAUGCGUUCCAUUAGAUAGUAGGCGGGGUAACGGCCCACCUAGUCUUCGAUGGAUAGGGGUUCUGAGAGGAAGGUCCCCCACAUUGGAACUGAGACACGGUCCAAACUCCUACGGGAGGCAGCAGUGAGGAAUAUUGGUCAAUGGGCGAGAGCCUGAACCAGCCAAGUAGCGUGAAGGAUGACUGCCCUAUGGGUUGUAAACUUCUUUUAUAAAGGAAUAAAGUCGGGUAUGCAUACCCGUUUGCAUGUACUUUAUGAAUAAGGAUCGGCUAACUCCGUGCCAGCAGCCGCGGUAAUACGGAGGAUCCGAGCGUUAUCCGGAUUUAUUGGGUUUAAAGGGAGCGUAGAUGGAUGUUUAAGUCAGUUGUGAAAGUUUGCGGCUCAACCGUAAAAUUGCAGUUGAUACUGGAUAUCUUGAGUGCAGUUGAGGCAGGCGGAAUUCGUGGUGUAGCGGUGAAAUGCUUAGAUAUCACGAAGAACUCCGAUUGCGAAGGCAGCCUGCUAAGCUGCAACUGACAUUGAGGCUCGAAAGUGUGGGUAUCAAACAGGAUUAGAUACCCUGGUAGUCCACGCCGUAAACGAUGAAUACU
rnacentral:rRNA from 1 species